rnacentral:rRNA from 1 species
AUUGAACGCUGGCGGCAUGCCUUACACAUGCAAGUCGAACGGUAACAGGUUAAGCUGACGAGUGGCGAACGGGUGAGUAAUGUAUCGGAACGUGCCCAGUCGUGGGUGAUAACUGCUCGAAAGAGCAGCUAAUACCGCAUACGACCUGAGUGUGAAAGCGGGGGCUCGCAAGACCUCGCGCGAUUGGAGCGGCCGAUAUCCGAUUAGGUAGUUGGUGAGGUAAAGGCUCACCAAGCCGACGAUCUGUAGCUGGUCUGAGAGGACGACCAGCCACACUGGGACUGAGAAACGGCCCAGACUCCUACGGGAGGCAGCAGUGGGGAAUUUUGGACAAUGGGCGCAAGCCUGAUCCAGCCAUGCCGCGUGCGGGAAGAAGGCCUUCGGGUUGUAAAACGCUUUUGUCAGGGAAGAAAAGGUUCUGGCUAAUACCUGGGACUCAUGACGGUACCUGAAGAAUAAGCACCGGCUAACUACGUG